rnacentral:lncRNA from 1 species
AAAUCAUUUCUCAUCUAAUGACAGGAUCACAGAUUCAGACCCAGAAAGACUCUCAGAGGUCAUCUAGGCUGAUCCCUUCAUUUUACAGAUAGGGAAACCAAGGCUCAUGAAGAUGAAGUCACACAGGUGACAGGGGAGUCAAUGGUGCCUGUUCAAAUGCUCGGAGAAUCUGAGAAGAGAGGAUUGGAAUGAUCAGCUCUGGUUCUGCACUGAUGGGUGCAUGAGUCACAAAUGUUUCCACAUGCAGAGCCAGCCAUCAAACAGACUGAGGACCUGUCAGUGGGACCAGGGUAUAUAUCUAAGACCAAUUAUCACUGGGUCAAAAAGUAUACAGAGUUUAAUGAUUGUCAGCUAUGGUAGAGGCAUGGAGAGAGAGAGGACUUGUAAGCCAAGAUGCAAGAAACAAGCUGGGGAACCUAACCUGGCCUGUCAGUCAAGGAGAAGGAUUCAAAUGGAAUGUUACCAGGAGUUGGCAGUUGGGGUUUUCUGGCCACAGAGGAGGAAGAAAAAACUUGGCUUUGACUUCAUCUCUGUCUCUCUGGCAGUUGAAGCUGACCAGGGGAGAAACCUGGGACUUUGGUUUCUCUGAGAGACCUUGCCAAUUUUAAGCUGAGAGACCUUGCUAACUUUGUGAAGAAGAAAGAAGAGUUUAAACAGUGGUUGUCCUCCAUCUCUCUAACUGUCUUAGAGUCACAGUUUGUGACUGGACGACUUUCUCAAACCCUCAAUUCUCCCUCAUUUUAGAUUAGGGACAUCCUCAUCUCUCUUACCUCAGUUUCCUAUCCUAUUAUCCCAAUAAACCCCUUGACUUGAAAAAGGAAAAGAAAAGA